CCUACGGGAGGCAGCAGUGGGGAAUAUUGGACAAUGGGCGCAAGCCUGAUCCAGCCAUGCCGCGUGAGUGAUGAAGGCCCUAGGGUUGUAAAGCUCUUUCACCGGUGAAGCGGUAACCGGAGAAGAAGCCCCGGCUAACUUCGUGCCAGCAGCCGCGGUAAUACGAAGGGGGCUAGCGUUGUUCGGAAUUACUGGGCGUAAAGCGCACGUAGGCGGAUAUUUAAGUCAGGGGUGAAAUCCCGGGGCUCAACCCCGGAACUGCCUUUGAUACUGGGUAUCUAGAGUCCAGAAGAGGUGAGUGGAAUUCCGAGUGUAGAGGUGAAAUUCGUAGAUAUUCGGAGGAACACCAGUGGCGAAGGCGGCUCACUGGCUGUACUGACGCUGAGGUGCGAAAGCGUGGGGAGCAAACAGGAUUAGAUACCCUUGUAGUC
rnacentral:rRNA from 1 species